rnacentral:rRNA from 1 species
UGGCUCAGAACGAACGCUGGCGGCGUGCCUAACACAUGCAAGUCGAACGAGAAAGUGGAGCAAUCCAUGAGUAAAGUGGCGACCGGGUGAGUAACACGUGACUAACCUACCUCCGAGUGGGGAAUAACUCCGGGAAACCGGGGCUAAUACCGCAUAACAUCGCAAGAUCAAAGCAGCAAUGCGCUUGGAGAGGGGGUCGCGGCUGAUUAGCUAGUUGGCGGGGUAACGGCCCACCAAGGCGAGGGUCAGUAUCCGGCCUGAGAGGGCGCACGGACACACUGGAACUAUUUCUCGGUCCAGAGGACUACGGGAGGCAGCA